rnacentral:rRNA from 1 species
GACGUAGGGUGCGAGCGUUGUCCGGAUUUAUUGGGCGUAAAGAGCUCGUAGGCGGCUCGUCGCGUCGACCGUGAAAACCCGCGGCUUAACUGCGGGCUUGCGGUUGAUACGGGCGGGCUAGAGUUCGGUAGGGGAGACUGGAAUUCCUGGUGUAGCGGUGAAAUGCGCAGAUAUCAGGAGGAACACCGGUGGCGAAGGCGGAUCUCUGGGCCGAUACUGACGCUGAUGCGCGAAAGCGUGGGGAGCGAACAGG